UCUGCCCCUAGAAGUGUCAUAGGUGUGGUUGCCGAGUCACAUGUAUGUAGGUAAGUGGCAGAGGCGAGACAAGUUAUGUCUACUCUCAGUGUUCAGACCCAUGACAUAUGAAUGAUUUGUAGCCUACCAUU